UUUCAAAGCGGCAGUGCAGCAUGGAGCCUGGGGUCAGUAUCCCGCUGACCCCAGGCUCCAUGAGGGCGCUUCUGCUUUUAAA
rnacentral:pre_miRNA from 1 species